rnacentral:rRNA from 1 species
UACGUAGGGGGCAAGCGUUGUCCGGAUUUACUGGGCGUAAAGGGCGCGUAGGCGGACAGUUUAGUCAGAGGUGAAAGCCCAGGGCUCAACCUUGGAAUUGCCUUUGAUACUGGCUGUCUUGAGUACGGGAGAGGUGUGUGGAACUCCGAGUGUAGAGGUGAAAUUCGUAGAUAUUCGGAAGAACACCAGUGGCGAAGGCGACACACUGGCCCGUUACUGACGCUGAGGCGCGAAAGCGUGGGGAGCAAACAGG